rnacentral:rRNA from 1 species
AAUCAACGCUGGCGGCGUGCCUAACACAUGCAAGUCGAACGAGAAAGCGGGGGCGAACUCCGUGAGUAAAGUAGGCGACCGGGUGAGUAACACGUGACUAACCUACCCUUGAGUGGGGGAGUAACUCCGGGAACCGGAGCUAAUACCGCAUAACAUCCCGCGCAAGCGGUGAUCAAAGGAAGCAAUUCGCUCAGGGAGGGGGUCGGCGGGCUGAUUAGCUAGUUGG